UACAGAGGUCUCAAGCGUUGUUCGGAUUCAUUGGGCGUAAAGGGCGCGUAGGCGGCGGGGUAAGUCUGGUGUGAAAUCUCGGAGCUCAACUCCGAAAUUGCACUGGAUACUGCUCUGCUAGAGGGCUGGAGAGGAGAUCGGAAUUCACGGUGUAGCAGUGAAAUGCGUAGAUAUCGGGAGGAAUACCUAUGGCGAAAGCAGGCUACUGGACCGUCACUGACUCUGAUCUGCGAAAGCUAGGGGAGCAAACAGG
rnacentral:rRNA from 1 species